GACGAACGCUGGCGGCGUGCUUAACACAUGCAAGUCGAACGGAAAGGCCCUUCGGGGUACUCGAGUGGCGAACGGGUGAGUAACACGUGGGUGAUCUGCCCUGCACUUUGGGAUAAGCCUGGGAAACUGGGUCUAAUACCGAAUAGGACCGCGCGCUUCAUGGUGUGUGGUGGAAAGCUUUUGCGGUGUGGGAUGGGCCCGCGGCCUAUCAGCUUGUUGGUGGGGUAAUGGCCUACCAAGGCGACGACGGGUAGCCGGCCUGAGAGGGUGACCGGCCACACUGGGACUGAGAGACGGCCCAGACUCCUACGGGAGGCAGCAGUGGGGAAUAUUGCACAAUGGGCGCAAGCCUGAUGCAGCGACGCCGCGUGAGGGAUGACGGCCUUCGGGUUGUAAACCUCUUUCACCAGGGACGAAGCGCAAGUGACGGUACCUGGAGAAGAAGCACCGGCCAACUACGUG
rnacentral:rRNA from 1 species